UUCGGUCAGCGCCAUCUUUAAACAAUAUGGCGGAUCAAUGACGAACAAUUACAAGAUUUUAGCCGACUUUAGUAAAAAAUACGGACAGUAAGGAAGUUAUGGAAUGUUUUGCGUUUUAUACUUCAAGACAAAAUCAAAUUAAAUAGAAACAACGAUCUGUCAAAUGAAAAUACCAUGUUAAAAGGAAAGCAUUAGUUAUUGAUACCUCUAGAAGAAUGUUACAGACAAGCAUGACUUCACUUGCCUCCUGACAAAAGAACUUGAAGAGAAAAAUUAUAUAAAUGAAGUAAAAAGCCUGUGUACUAUUUACCAGAAAAUGCCAAAGGACAUGCAUCUCUAUUUAAAGCAAUAUGACUGAACAGAAGGGUUAAAGCAAAACUUAAAAAGAUGGAUUCCGAUGGAAUUUAUGAAGAAACAUAUGAUGGUGAUUAUGCUGAUGAUGAAAUGCCAGAUGAAAACCCAGAUCUAGAUGAGGAUGUUGCACAAUUGAGCGAAAGUUCAGACUCGGAAGAAAGCGAACCAGAAGAUUCUGGAUUUAGUAACAAUGAAAAUGGUUCACAAGAAUUGACGUUAAUAGAUGAAGGACCUUCUGUGUUGAUACAGCCGUCAAUACUUGAUGACGAGGACGAAGGAGAAGAUGAUGAAGGAAAUGUUUCAUGUAUUCAACAAUCCAUACAUUUACCUCCCCUUGACUUGCUGGGAGACGUCACAGCAGAAGCUAGUCAGAUGUUGUCAUCACAAGACACUGGUAUUAGCACACAAGCUGAAGAGGAAGAGGGGGAGGGGGAAGCAGAUGAAGAUAUUGUUGCCACAGAAUCAUCAAAGGAUCUCAUCAUAGAACAAGAGGAUAAGAAAGAAAUAGAGAAGAAAAUACCAAAGAAAAAGAAGAAAAAGAAAAAAUGGUUUUACAUAUGUCUGUCAAACUGCAAAUACGAUGUUGUGCGUAAAGUAUCACGGAAAUUUGGUUUCAAAGAAGUCUCAGAUGAUGAUGACUGGACGCUAUACUGGACAGAUUAUUCUGUGGCCUUGGAAAGAGUUAUGGACAUGAAAAAGUACCAGAAAAUUAACCACUUUCCUGGGAUGAGUGAAAUUUGUAGAAAGGACUUGCUGGCUAGAAAUUUGAACAGAAUGUUAAAGAUGUUUCCUAAAGAAUAUAAUGUCUUCCCCAAAACUUGGUGUCUUCCUGCUGAUUAUGGAGAUUUCCAAGCAUAUUGUCGGCAAAAGAAGAACAAGACGUAUAUCUUGAAACCAGAGUCUGGAUGUCAAGGUCGUGGAAUCUGGGUCACCAAAAAUCCAAAAGAUGUCAAGCCGCAUGAACAUAUGAUUUGUCAGCACUAUAUGUCUAGGCCUUUAUUGAUAGAUGGUUUCAAAUUUGACUUGAGAAUCUAUGUGCUGGUAACUUCUUGUGAUCCACUUAGAAUAUUUGUGUUCAAAGAUGGUCUAGCUAGAUUUGCAACCAACAAAUACCUGGAACCCACUCAUGGAAAUGUAGACAAUGUGUACAUGCAUCUUACGAACUAUGCUAUAAAUAAACAUAGUGAGGAUUUUGUAAGGGAUGAUGAAGCAGGGAGUAAACGUAGAAUUAGUACAACAAAUCGCUACAUGGCGAGGAAGGGAUACGAUGUAGACAAAAUGUGGGCAGAUAUUGACGAUACGAUUAUAAAAACGCUAAUUGCUGCGCAUUCAGUAUUAAAACAUAACUACCGCACAUGUUUUCCAAAUCAUGUUAAAGGAAGUGCUUGUUUUGAAAUUCUGGGAUUUGAUGUGAUUCUGGAUAGGAAACUGCGGCCAUAUGUGAUUGAGGUCAAUCACUCGCCAAGUUUUGGCACAGAUUCAGAAUUAGACAGAGAAAUCAAGGGUGCUUUAGUCUAUGACACGCUGCAACUGGUAAACUUUGGUGCUUGUGAUCGGCGGAAAUGUAUAGAAGAAGAACGGCGUAGAAUCAAAGACAGGCUACUUGGAAAAUCAAAUAGAAAGGAAUCAAGGGAAGAGUUAGAUCUUGCUCAACAACAGUAUAUAGAAUCUCUAGACAAAUAUGAGAAUAAUCACCUGGGUAACUUCCGACGUAUUUAUCCAAACCCUGGAACAGAAAAAUAUGAGAAGUUCUUCCAUAGUAGUGGAACUUUGUUUCAAGAAACAGCAGCUUUCAAAGCCAGAAGCGAACUUGCCAGACAACAACGAGAAGAAAUCUCACGUAAAAAGGAGAAAUUGGAGGCAAUGUUGAAAGGGAAAAAGAAUAUGACUGGUGUGGCAAGACCAGAAAGUCCCGGAAGCCGGAGAAGGCGGUCAUUACGCAGAACGACGAUGCCAGCUCGUAGAAUACAGUCUAGUUCUAGAUCUAGUCUAGAUAUGCUGAGCAGUGAGUCAUCUAGGCUACAAAUUAAUAUAGAUGAGCCAGUAGAUACAAAGAAACCAAUGGAUAUAUUAGAAGAGGAAGAGUUGGAACGUAUAAGUGGUCUCUUGCAGCGUGAUAACCUUGUACGGGGGCUUGGCAUUGUUGAGCACGUGUACCGCUUGCUUCACUGCACUCCCGGCACGAUGGGAGUGCUCAAGUCAGAACCACGCCCACUUCCUCCUCCAUUGUUACCUCCCUUACUGACUGACUUUAACUAUGGCUUUAUUUACAACUUUCCGAACAUAAAACACAAUAUACGGAGGCUAGCCUUGAGAAAUCUCGGCAGUCCUCAGGAAAAUCAAAGAUGGCUGUACACAAAUCGUCAGAUGGACUCAUGCCUCUCGGGACGUCAAGCUCCAAUUCGUAUCAAGGAUAAACAGUACUAUAAAAAGCUCCUUGACCGCUAUUUUGGCCACAAUCAUGCAUUAUCCAAUGAGAACAAUUCUAGAUUAGACAAAACCAUAUAUAGGUCAAAUCGUAACUUUGCUGGCCGAGGUAUAAAUAAUAAGGAAGAUUUGAACCGUCAGUUUCCGCAUGUGAGACUGUCGUACAGCAGUAGUGAUAGAAAAGUGGUGCUCACUCAUGAACCAUAUAUUCUGGAAGGUUCUGACACAGAGGAAGUAUUUGAAAUGGAGACAGAACAGGAUUCUUGCAGUCAGCGUGUAGACAGCCAGAUAAGUCUAGGUGCCGGUAGUAAUACAUUGCAACCCGACCGUAGUGUCACGUCUGUAAUGUCUGGUCUCUCAAAUGGUCAGACCGGCACCUAUGGUUCGAGCAACGAUCUUGGCGGUCUUGCUUUGCCGGCUCAGAUCGGCUCCUAUAGCUCUACGAGUGCACUCUCACUGAGUUCACAAGCUUCGUUGCACACACACUCAAACACUCACACAACGACUAACAUCUGUCUCUACCCUCCCCCAAACCCACUAGCUAAGCCCAUUUUACCGGCUACAACCGGUUUGUCUAAAAUUGUGCCAAUUUCAAACAAUACUGUCUCCCCAUCUCAGCCUGGUCAUGGUGGACGCAGUUGGACACACAAGACAAGCACAGCAGGAAACCUUGGUAGUGUCAAUGAAAGAACUGUUCCUUCCUACCAGAGAAACAAAUUUAUUCGCAAGCCUUUGGGUAGUACAGGCAGAGCAGGGGGUGCAAGUGCGGUGAUACCAGACUCGGAAUAUAGGAAUUUGUCCUCUUUACUUGAAACUGAGGCUGAACGCAACCGAAUCCUAGCUAGGAACGGUUUUACUAGCAAUGGUUCAACGGAGAAUAGACCCGAUUCAAUAACGCCAAAUUCAAACCAAAAACGAGUGCUAAGUGCCUCAGGUCAGAGAAAGGAUAAUGAUGGCAUCCCUCAGCCACAGAUUAAGACAAAAUAUGUGAGUGAGGCGACCGGUAUGUGCUGAAGUGAUUAUAUUGCUGUCUAACUACAGACUACCUGCAACGGUAUCCUUCCCAGCAAGGCCCAGGGCUGUCUGUAGUAUCAGGUCCAGCCCCGGUUAUACAGCGACCUGACCUUGGACACCCACCCUCGACCAAUCCAUUAUCAUCGA
rnacentral:misc_RNA from 1 species